UGGGGAAUAUUGGACAAUGGGGGGAACCCUGAUCCAGCCAUGCCGCGUGUGUGAAGAAGGCCUUAUGGUUGUAAAGCACUUUAAGCGAGGAGGAGGGUACUGGUAUUAAUACUACCAGGUACUGGACGUUACUCGCAGAAUAAGCACCGGCUAACUCUGUGCCAGCAGCCGCGGUAAUACAGAGGGUGCGAGCGUUAAUCGGAUUUACUGGGCGUAAAGCGUGCGUAGGCGGCUAAUUGAGUCGGAUGUGAAAUCCCCGGGCUUAACUUGGGAAUUGCAUUCGAUACUGGUUAGCUAGAGUGUGGGAGAGGAUGGUAGAAUUCCAGGUGUAGCGGUGAAAUUCGUAGAGAUCUGGAGGAAUACCGAUGGCGAAGGCAGCCAUCUGGCCUAACACUGACGCUGAGGUACGAAAGCAUGGGGAGCAAACAGG
rnacentral:rRNA from 1 species